UUCAUUCGCGUUCACGACGUCAAGCGUUAUCGUCAUUGAAUACGGUCGGUUAAGCAAGUUGUAAGGUUACGAAUAUUUCAGUAUUAUCAGUUUUCAUUUCAAUUACAGAGAUUUGUUUUGGAGAUAGUGUGCCACAACAACAACAACUGAAAAGCUUAUGUGUUAUUGUUACCUCUAUGCUUUUGUGGAAUUAUCUUGUUCGCACAACGUGUGUUAGAUUGAUACAGUUUUAACGGUCAAUAAUUUGAAAGGCCGCGAAAACUGAAAGUCGCAUUUAGAACACGGCAAUAACAUUAAUCAAACGCUCAUAAAAAUAGCUUUUAUGAUAUAAAAAAAAGUUGCGAAAGUGGCAAGAGAAGGUAGAACAAAAACAAAAUUAUAAGUGUAGUAGAUCCGAAACAACAACUGCAAUAAAAUAAAAGCCAAAACAAAAAAAAAACGACAAAAUCACGCAAGGAUUCUUUCUACAAAUACACACAUAUAUACGUGUCUAUGGACUUGUAUGUGUAGACAUCAAUAGUGGAUGUAUCGUGGAACAUCAGAGCAGAAACAGCAGAUUUGCUUGAAUUGACACGUGUGCCGUCAACACUUUGUGCUUUGACCUUCACAAGGUGGAUCGCCCUUUGUGCGCAAUUAAAAGCGAACUAGCCAACAAAGACGCCAACUAAUCGACAACUCUCAAAACUGUGAAUAGGAGCUUCGCUCAAAUCGCAUCGCCCUCCCGUAAAUAACGCAUACGCUUGCGUACGCAAACCAGUUAAAUCACUGCUACUCUUAACAUUGCCACCAUAUCCACCAUCAACACCAUUGAGCACCCGGCAGCGUCCGCCUCCGUCUCCACUUCCGCCUCCACCUCUGCUGCCGCUGUCAUUCCAACCGCUGCAAUGCGUCGCUCCUCAUUUACGCCCGUCUUCAGUUUGAGCACUCAAGAGCCGCUCAUUGUUGUUGAAGAGACAAAUACCAUCGAGGAUGGCAGGGGAGCGGAGGGCGCAGCCGGUGGUGUUGAUACCACAGGAGCCACACGCAAGUCGACAAGCGACGAUUCUGAGCCUGACUCGCCCGUCAAUCCGUAUUUGUUAUGCCCAUUUCCGGAUAUGCAACAGCGACGCAAACAUUCUUUGCCAUCACUGCAAAUAACCGAGGGUAUAACAGCCAGUCAGGUGCGUCGUUUGUCGGAGGUGGGCGGCGAAAAUGGUGGGCUUAGUCCGAAAGAAGUGGAGUUUCUAGCAACAUUGUCGCAGAAAGCAAAUCCCGCCGCGGGUGGCCGCCGACAUUCGGUUGUUACAAUUUCUGCUGUACCACCGACAUUGUUUGGUCGCAAUCGACGGGAGUCGCUAACAGGCAUGCCGCUCAGCAGUGGCAGCCGACGUGGCAGUAUUAUUCAAGGACCACCACUUACCGAUCAUCGAGGCAGCAUCCACAAUUUACAACUGGACAUCAUGGAUGGCAUUGUGCAGACACGAAAACGUGCCGGCAGUGGUGUGUGGACGGCACCAGUACUGCAGGAGACUGAGAAUAAUGUGCCAGUGCAAACAUAAAUUAUAACAACGUCCCCCUACCCCACCAAUCGGCCCACGACCAUCAUACUCAAAACUAAUAAUAUCAUCGACAUCAAUGGCAGCAAGAACAAAAAAGAUGAGAAAAAUGUUAGUCAAAUUAGCAGCAACACAAUUAAGCAGAAGUGCAGCGGCAAUAGCAAAAAGCAAAAAACAGUAACGGGCAGUUUGGAGGGCACAACAGCUGAAACAACAACAGCAGCGACAACGGCACCUGGUAAUGGAUCAUCAACAUCAUGGCACAGCAAUUUAGUUUCACGUUUUGGCGCAUUGCUCUGCUGGCAAUCGCUGGACUGUUGAACUGGCGACGAGGCGGCUUCAGUGACUCCAACAGUGCAAAAGCGAGAUUGUAGCGCGCAUUGUGGUGUGGCACGUUUGGUGGCUGUGCCUAUGGUCGGUUUAGAAGUCAACCGAAUAGCAAUGGCCAACCGGAAAUGUCAACAGUGCACAGCGUGAGUCAACAAUACGGUCUAGCUCAAUUUGGUAGCAAAAUGUGGAAGCAAUCAUCAACAUUUCCGUAUUCCCAAAUGGUGUGAGGCCACACAAAGAGUCACAAGUCCAGCGAUUUGCUAGUUAUUUGUGCAGGUAGAUAUGCGUUUAAUGGCAAGAACAUUGAUGCUGUGCGGGUCACAAAUUUGCCAAAGGUCAGCCGAAGGGGGACGUUGGAGAGAAAAAGAAAUUACUUUAUAUUUUCAGUUUACUCGAUUUCUAUUGUUUGAAAAGUAAAGAGUAGUGCAUAAGCAGAGAUAUAUUCAGGGAGAGGUGAAGGGGAAAGCAACGCUUGCAUAAGCAUGUGGAUAAUGGUCAACCUCAAUACCAAAUUCUUUCAAUGGUUAGAAAAUAACAACAAAUAUGAGCAGGAAAUUUAUUGAACCACUCAAUAUUUUCAAAACCAGAAAAUUUGUCAUUUUGCAAUAUGCAUAUCCAAUGAUUGCCUUUAUUGGCAUAUUUUGCAUACUCGAUCAUUUUAAUGCGAUUGAAGAGAUGGACAGUAAAAGUCGUACAGCAUUAUAUGAAUAUCUCCGAUGUUCUGUUCAACCCUGAUCGAUAACUCAAUUAACAAAGGGACAAAUUGGAGUGCUGUAUCGUAGCAGGUUCCGGAAUUUCAAUCCGUACUCGGUCACUUCUUCCUGACGUUGCUUUGAUGUUUUGUUGGGAUGAGCUUUUUUAUUUAUAGAGCACACAACUGCUGAUGAUAGCUUCUAUUCGUUUGCAUUUUCAUGUGAUUUUCACAGAUUAGCAAAGAUUAACGGACAAAAUCAGGUUGCAAAAGUCAAAACAUGGAUAUCUCGCACCUAACGAGGAGAGUUCUACCUAUCUAAUAAAAGCAAAGACAGAGGACAUAAAUUACGCGCUAUGCCAGUAAUUUUUGGAUAAUUUGAGCAAAUUCGGAAAGAUCCCAAAUCGUUGUUAAUUUUCCUGAAGUCGUAUUGAACGUAUCGUAUAUUGAACAAUCGAAGAAUAAAAAUACGGUCACUGAGUAACGUUGUGAGAGCCUCAAACUAGCCUUGUAUUUCAUGUGGCUCAGUCACAAGCGGAAAAACAUUUUUUAGUGAUUUUGAACACGUUGCGAAAAAACAUUGGUUCAUACAACAUAGAACACUGGAGAAAAUUACUUUUUUACUACUCUCCUUGACAUGCAUUAACGCAGAGUGCGAUGGAUCCAUUCAUCAGCCAAGAAGAACAUAUUUUGUACACUUAAGUGGUAAUCAUGGAGACCUUAUCAAUUACUGGAUAUGAACUAUUGAUGGACUUGAAAAGUUUAUAAUUUGGAAGUUACAAAAAGAUCAAAAAUUAAUUUGGACUAAAAGAAUCAAGCCAAAAUUGGCACAAUUUAAAAUGAUAUGGAAGCAUUACUUUCGAAAAUAUAUUAGUGUCCUGAGAAAUAACUCUCCACAAACUCAUCAAAGCAAUUUGAGCUGCGUAUAUGUGCUAAUAUACUCAAAUACCGUUAGAUGAUUAUUGAGAGCAUAAUUUCCACUCCCAAUCUGCAUGCCAGAAGUGAAGCUUAUAAGUGAAGCUAAAUGAUUUCCAUAUAAGAAAUAACUACCGAUUAUCCCAUAAGGGUUUUAACAAUAGAAUAAGCGAACCAGAGUAAAGCUUCUUUAACGUCGCACUUAAAGCAUAUUAAAUUCUACCAUAUACAAGUAAAAAGGGUGUAUAAAGGGAAAUGCGUUUUUAAUGUAUAUAAUGAAAUACACUUUCACGUAACGGUACAUUACCAUGAACUUUUGAUGUUAAAGCACAUCUAUGACUUUUAUUUUAAUAAUAAAGAGCAAAACUUAAGCAACAAAAUUCGAGCAUACGGUGCGAACAAAAAGCUAAGGGGGCGGAGUACGAAACCCACGUACGAACACACGCAGAAAAUGAAUGCAAGCAGAGCUUACAAGCAAGCAAGAAAAAAAAUAAGGAAGAAUUAAAAAUUUACAAAAAGUAGCAAAUUGCUCGGUGGUAGAGCCAAACAAGAAAGCAGAAAGCGAAUGGAGAAGAACUGCAAGUGUGUAAAAACCAGAAAGCGCAACAAAAUGCCAGCAACAACAAUGACUUUCCUAGCGCAUUUCCACUUUCCGUGGUAAACGGAAGGAAAUUGGCACAAACAACGGCACACAAAAGGCAAUAUGCAGUAUCUAUCUACACAUAAAUUGACUUGCAACUUUCUUGAAACCAGGGAAUGCCAUUAGAUGUGAAAUUAAGAAAGUGCAGUACAUCGUCCGAACCGAACAUAAGAUCAGAAGAUACACCGAUAAGAUUAAAUGAACUAAAUAACAACAGCAAUAAAAACCUGAAAAAAACAACUGUAGCAUCGCUACUGUGCGUUCGCUGCUCUAAUCUCCCAAAUGCACCAUGCACCAAUUAUUUACGGAAUAAUUGAAAUCACUCAACAAGCAAUGGAAAUUACUUAUACACUCAUACACCAAUAAUCAAACCAAACCAAAAAUUAACAAUUUGAUGAGAUGAUAAAAAGGACAUAAUUAAUUAUUAUUAAAUCAGGAAUUGAUAAAUUAGUGGUUAAAUAUAUAUAUGUAUUUACAAUAUGUGUAUAUGUUUGUAUAUUUUUGAAGUGCACCCAGCAAAUACGCUUACUUACAUAACAUACAUACAUACACACAUGCAUAUGCUGUGUGUUUGUGCUAUGUAUGUGUACGCGUGUUUAAUAAGAAAUAAAUAAGCGACGGUAAGGAUAAUAAGGAAAGUAAUAUAAUAAUCAAUGUAUGAAAGUAGUAACUACAAUUGAAAUAAAAUAAUAUAAAUUAUUAUAAAUUUUUUAUUUAAUUUAUUUAUUUUUUUGUUUUUGAACAAAUUUCCAAGAAUUUAGUUACAUAAUAUUCAGUUGCUAUGAGAAACAAUUACACUGAAGUAACUGUAGAACUGCUGUAUAAAUGCUCAUAUAUAUAUACAUACAUAUGUACAUAUAUUUUAGGCUGUCCGUUAUUUUCUCUUUCCGUUUCCGUUGUUCCCCCUUAAAAAAUAAUUGAACAUAAAUAAGCUCUUUAUUUACAGUUUAAACCGUGCCUAAAUCGUGUUUUUUUUCCUAUGAAUACAACAUGGCAGUUUUUGAAAUUUUUCUUUAAGAAAGUAAACCUUCAACUUUGAAAAUUUUCUGCUCUACAAAACAGGUCGUGUUAGUUUUUUCCAUAAAAAUAUUGCAUUAAAAGUUAUAUGCAGUAAAUAUUAUAUACCAAAUGAAUGGUCACAAAUGUUUGUAUGAAAAAAACUGCGGACAAUUUUGUUUUAGAAUAUCACUUUACUUUCAAAGUUGUAGAUUCAUUUCGUUUGAAGAAAAAGUAAAAUGAUUUAGGCACAGCUUUAAUUGAAAAUAAAGAGCUUCUUUAAGUUGGAUAAUUUUUUUAGGGCAACAACUGACUCUUUAGGGGGUGUUUUCAAAAAAAAAAUAUAUUGUAUAUAUGUAUGUGUGUUGUAAUAACCCAUUACUAUCUAAACAACUUAAAAAUAUUCAGCUAGAUUAUCGGGCAUUUCUCAAAAUAUUUCUAAAUGAAUUUAGGUGUAUCUUUCCGAUAUUUUAAUUUAAUAGUCAUUCUUGAGUUAGUAAAGGUGUAACCCACCUUAUUUUAUCUAAAUAUAUGUAGAUGUAGUGAUUGGCUCAUUAGAACCGAUAAAUUAUUCAAUAUUAUUGUUGCGUUAAUAUUUGGAAGAGCCUCCAAAAGAAGUUUUCAAUCUCCCAAAUCGGUUCCAAAUCGAAACAUAAAGUGAGACCAAUUUUCAAUCAGAGAAGACUCAAAGAGAUGUUUAAAUGGGUAUUGUCACGUUUAGGUAUAAUAUAUGUAUGUAUUAUAACUAUCUUUAGACAACACAUAUAUAACUUAUUAUUAGCGUUACUGACCAAUCUAAAACUGUGCUGGAUUCCACAGUGAAUAUUCCGAAAUAAACAAAUUUGUCGAGAACUGCCAAGUUUUAUUUGAUGACAGAAAAGACAGAAGUCUAAAUUUAGAAAUAGAAAUUUAGAGUGUAAAACUAAGAGAGCGGAACCUAAGCUAAUUGGAUUUACGGAAUCACUUGAUAGCAUUAUUAAGGAAAAUCACAACAAAGUCGUUCUCAGAGCGACAUAAAAUACUUUGAAACGAGACUAUACAUAUAUAUAUGUCAAUAUAGUUCUUCGAAUGCUCUAUUAUCCAGGAAGUUUUGGUCCCAAACCUGAAGAUACGUGUGUUGAAGUGAUUUCUUCGUUGCCAAUCGAUUUCUUCUUUCGAGAAAUGUUAUCUCGGUGACUCCAGUAUCAACUUUCCAUAAUUAUCCAAAUAUUUCAAUAUAACAGUACUCUACUUUAUAGGUAGUUGGUAUUGUGGUAUUUCAUCGAAGUAUAGCGGUCUGAGAACUCGUAAAAUUAUGAUUGUAACCUUCAGGUAGACACUCCUACACAAAAGCGUUAUGCUCAAGAGAUAGUAAUGGGUUAAAUAAAUAGUUUUAAAAAAAUUAAAUAUUUUUGUUUUUAACAUUUUAUGAAGUUAUUGCUUUGAAAGCGAUAAUAUUAUGGGCUGUAAUAAGACUUCAGCUCAAAUAAGUGCUUACAUUUCUUUUUGCAAGCGAGCUUAAUACAGCAAAAGCAAAGUAAAAACAAAAUUGUAUGCAAAUAAAAAUUACAAUAUUUUUAAUAAGUUCAACUUAGUAAUUAUUUAUUAUUAUUUAUAAUAAAAAUUAUUAUAUAUAAUUAAAGCAAAAUUUCCAAAACUAAAUUUAUUUAUUAUCACAAUUACUUUUAAAAAAUGUAUAUUAAAUACUCAUGAAAUGCUAAGUACAUACAAACUUAUAUAUAAAAAUAUGUAAAAUAUGACACAUAUUAUUAAUCUCGAAACAUAGAAAGGUAUAGAUUUUAGUGAAAACGUAGCGUAAAUAUUCCUAGACCCUCAGGUGUUGUUUGUUUAACAUUUUUCAUAUACAUAUGUAUGUCAUUAAAAUAUGUUUUUCAUAUGAUAAACAAUAUUGUCAAUGAAAAAACAAACAAAUUUGAAGUUACUUACUUUUAAAACUAGCGAAUUGAUGGUGUUUUAAUUAUAAAUAAAAAUAAUAUGUACAAUAAAAUAUAAUUGUAAAUUAGCAAAACUUUGAUUGCAUUGAGAUGUACCACGUACCUUACCUUAAAAGAGAACAUAAAAAAUUAUAAAAAUCAAAUUGAAUGAAGUUUACUUAGUAACUAAAAUAAAAAAGUAACAAAAAAAAAUUGUAUUAAGAAUAGUUAUACAUGUAUGUUAUACUUUUUAAACGUUACUUAUCUUAAAUAUUGAUUUCUUAUUUGUUAGCUUUAAAAUUAGAUCUGAGCUUCAUAAAUUUAUUUUUUUUUUGUGUUGUGAUGAUAUAAUAUAGUUAAUCAACAAAAUAAUUUGAAAAAUUGCGGCGUAAGUAAAAUGCUAAGUCUAAGCUUUCAAAACUGUCAAAAAGCUAUAAACAAAGCAUGUGUUUAGCAAUCGGUUUUGUGACACCGCCAAUUUGCUGAUAGUAACCUAUUCGAUAGCACGAUAUUUUUCGAUAAUUAGUUGCGUUCUCAUAACACAUAUACAUAAUAAUGGUUGGUAAUUAUCUUAAAUUAACGCGAUUUACUGUUCCCGUACAUAAAUAGCCAUUAAAGUAUGAGAAAUUAAGAGAGUAAAUCAACAGUUGCUUUUGUCGAAAGCUGAGAGCUUUUGCUAGAAUUUUUUUUUUUAUUUUAGAAAACUGUAAUUAAGAAAAUGAAAAUGGAAGAACUACAGCCACUUGAAAACAAAUAUACAGGAGUGAAAUAAAGUAUUAUUUCUAAUAGCAGAUACUUUCUUUUUUCUCGAGAUAUUUUUGAUCGAUAAUUAUUAUAACAAAAAAAAUGCGAGAAUGCAGGCUUUGUUUAUAAUUACUAUAUAUGUUUGGCAGUUUGUUUUGUUUAUGACUGCGCGUGUUGGAAAUUUGUAAAUAUAAUUCUGAAUACGAAUAUUUAUUUUUUUUAAACUCACAGUUCGUAAUCCGCAAUUAUAAAACUGAAAUUUUAAAUUACAUAUAUCUAUAUAACUGUAUUUUUCUCUUCACCUCAUAUUUUUAAACAAAGCUCAACAGAUUUGUUUUCUUCUUCUUCUUUUGGUCCUGGCAAGCGCUGAAGAAUUUCUCCUUCACUAAUUUUUUUAUAAGCGAGAGACUUUUCGUUUACGCCUUGAUUCAACUUGAUGGCUGGUGAUUGCUAUUUUCUUAUCAAACACAACUAAUGCCAAAUUAAAUUUUUUAUGAAAAAUUAUAUAAAUUAUAUUAUUUUUUAUUUAUUUUGUUUAGUUUUUUUUUUGUAUUAUAAUAAUUGCCAGUCCUUAUAACUAUAACUAAUAUAUAAGGAUACUUCUUCAACGCACAGAAAAAUAUGAAGACAUGUUUAGUAAAUAUUUAAAUAUAUUUAUAUAAGAAAAAUAUUCAGCAGAGUUGCUCUAACGACUAAGCAAACAUACUACUUACGUAAAAAAAUAAUCGUAACUAGAAAAAAUCACAUUAGAUGGCCGAAUGCUAUGAAAGAAGUAUUAAGAAAAUAUAUGUACAUACGUAUAAGCCCAUUCAUGACCACUGGAGCCCCUAGCUGAAUGAUGAAGCAUAGGUAAGCAUAUCGUGCAAUUCUGUUAAGUCACAAUAAGAUGAAUAUAGCGAUAGAUUUAGUUCCAUAUAUGUAUUUAUCUAUAUGUAUGUAGCAGGUAACAUAAAUUAUGAAGAGAAAUUUCUUAAUUUUAAAGUCGCUGGACGACAAAAUCUUAUAAAAUGCUGUUUAGCGUUAAAUUUCGCGUUUCUUUUACGAGUAAAAUUACAAACACAUAUAAGAAAACACAAAAAGAAAAAAACAAAUAUUUAUAAGUGAACGUAAGAACAAUCAAUGUUGCAAAUUUUACCAACUUUCCAUUAGAAGGUUAAAUAUUUAUAUAAAAUAAUGUUCAAAUAUUCAUAAUUAAAAUAAAAGUUUUGCAUUUAUAAAUUUUUAACUUUCUCCACUUUACAAAGAAAUCAUAAAUAUUUUGUGUACGUGUGUGUUGUUUUCAAUAACAUUUAGCGGUAAUUGAAACUUUUAGCAAGUAAAUAAAAAAUUUAAAAGCAAUUCAUUAAAAAAAUUUACAUGAAAACAAAAAUAAAAAUGAAAAACUGAAAAUAAAUAAUAAACGAUUGCAAUAUUUACGUAACAAAAAAUAAAUAAAUAAGUCAACUCUACAACUGUAAAAGGUAUUAAUAUUUAGAAAAAAUUACGUUAAAUAUAAAAAUAUAUGUUUAUGUGUAUAAAAAAGAAUAUGCGUAUAAUUAUAAGCAAAAGUAUCAGACAUACUUUACAUUCAUACAAACCUACGAACGUCAUCGUGAGAGUCAUAACGGGCAUGCUGUCAUAGGCAGGCGAACGUCGAAAAAAAACAA